GCCAUGCAAGUCUCAGUACAUGCCUAACUAAGGUGAAACCGCAAAAGGCUCAUUAAAUCAGUUAUGGUUCCUUGGAUCUUAAACAGUUACUUGGAUAACUGUGGUAAUUCUAGAGCUAAUACAUGCAAACAAGUCCCGACCAGAGAUGGGAGGGACGCUUUUAUUAGAUCAAAACCGAUCGGCGUCCGGUUUCGGCCGGCGCCGUCUCUUUUGGUGACUCUGGAUAACUUUUAGCCGAUCGCACGGUCACAGUACCGGCGACGCAUCUUUCAAAUGUCUGACUUAUCAACUGUCGAUGGUAGCCUCUGCGACUACCAUGGUUGUAACGGGUAACGGGGAAUCAGGGUUCGAUUCCGGAGAGGGAGCCUGAGAAACGGCUACCACAUCCAAGGAAGGCAGCAGGCGCGCAAAUUACCCACUCCCGGCACGGGGAGGUAGUGACGAAAAAUAACGAUACGGGACUCAUCCGAGGCCCCGUAAUCGGAAUGAGUACACUUUAAAUACUUUAACGAGUACCAAUUGGAGGGCAAGUCUGGUGCCAGCAGCCGCGGUAAUUCCAGCUCCAAUAGCGUAUAUUAAAGUUGUUGCGGUUAAAAAGCUCGUAGUUGGAUCUGUGUGCCACGCUGUCGGUUCACCGCCUGUCGGUGUCAACUGGCAUGUCUGUGGGACGUCCUGCCGGUGGCGGUACGGGCUGCCGGCGCUGCGUAGGGGCUCGCCCCCGAAGCACGCCGGCGUGUCCCGGUCCGCCGAUCCAAUCCCGCCGCGGUGCUCUUCACUGAGUGUCGAGGUGGGCCGGCACGUUUACUUUGAACAAAUUAGAGUGCUCAAAUCAGGUCGUAUUUAGGCCUGUAUACUG
rnacentral:rRNA from 4 species